rnacentral:rRNA from 1 species
AUUGACUUCUUCGGAAUGAUUUUGAUUAAGUUUAGUGGCGGACGGGUGAGUAACGCGUGAGUAACCUGCCUCUGAGAGGGGAAUAACAUUCUGAAAAGAAUGCUAAUACCGCAUAACAUAUAUUUAUCGCAUGGUAGAUAUAUCAAAGAUUUAUCGCUUAGAGAUGGACUCGCGUCCGAUUAGUUAGUUGGUGAGGUAACGGCUCACCAAGACCGCGAUCGGUAGCCGGACUGAGAGGUUGAACGGCCACAUUGGGACUGAGACACGGCCCAGACUCCUACGGGAGGCAGCAGUGGGGGAUAUUGCGCAAUGGGGGAAACCCUGACGCAGCAACGCCGCGUGAAGGAUGAAGGUCUUCGGAUUGUAAACUUCUUUUAUUAAGGACGAAGAAGGUGACGGUACUUAAUGAAUAAGCUCCGGCUAACUACGUGCCAGCAGCCGCGGUAAUACGUAGGGAGCAAGCGUUGUCCGGAUUUACUGGGUGUAAAGGGUGCGUAGGCGGCUUUGCAAGUCAGAUGUGAAAUCUAUGGGCUCAACCCAUAGCCUGCAUUUGAAACUGCAGAGCUUGAGUGAAGUAGAGGCAGGCGGAAUUCCCCGUGUAGCGGUGAAAUGCGUAGAGAUGGGGAGGAACACCAGUGGCGAAGGCGGCCUGCUGGGCUUUAACUGACGCUGAGGCACGAAAGCGUGGGUAGCAAA